AUGACACACUUAAUUGAAAUGCAGCUGUCAUCACAUUCAGUGAUCAGCAAUGAACACAACUCACACCGUGGAUUUGGGACUGAUUUGGGUUUUCAUUGUUGUUCUUUUCAAAGGUGUCCAGUGUGAGGUGCAACUUGUGGAGUCUGGGGGUGGCCUGGUACAGCCUGGGCAGUCCCUGAGACUCUCCUGUGUAGCCUCUGGUUUUGAUUUUAGUAACGAUUGGAUGGACUGGGUACGCCAGACUCCAGACAAGGGGCUAGAGUGGAUUGCAGAAAUUAAUGGAGAUAGCAGUGACAUCAAGUAUGCACCGUCCCUGAAGGAUCGAUUCACCAUCUCCAGAGAAAAUGCCAAGAGCACUCUGUACCUGCAAAUGAACAGAGUGAAGACUGAAGACACAGCCACUUAUCACUGUACUUGGCCCACAGUGAGGGGAUCUAAGUGUGAUCCUAGACAUAAAAGUCACUGA